UCCCAGGUGACAUAGAUGGCAUCAAUUCU
rnacentral:piRNA from 1 species